rnacentral:lncRNA from 1 species
GUGUUAGAGGUUAGAGGUUAAGUGGCAGGUGCUGUGUUAGAGGUUAAGUGGCAGGUGCUGUGUUACAGGUUAAGUGGCAGGUGCUGUGUUAGAGGUUAAGUGGCAGGUGCUGUGUUACAGGUUAAGUGGCAGGUGCUGUGUUAGAGGUUAAGUGGCAGGUGCUGUGUUAGAGGUUAAGUGGCAGGG